AGUAGACCUUACAGUGAAAUGCUGAAUACAACAGGUGUAGUAGACCUUACAGUGAAAUGCUGAAUACAACAGGUGUAGUAGACAUUACAGUGGAAUGCUGAAUACAACAGGUGGAGUAGACCUUACAGUGGAAUGCUGAAUACAACAGGUGGAGUAGACCUUACAGUGGAAUGCUGAAUACAACAGGUGGAGUAGACCUUACAGUGGAAUGCUGAAUACAACAGGUGGAGUAGACCUUACAGUGGAAUGCUGAAUACAACAGGUGGAGUAGACCUUACAGUGGAAUGCUGAAUACAACAGGUGGAGUAGACCUUACAGUGGAAUGCUGAAUACAACAGGUGUAGUAGACCUUACAGUGGAAUGCUGAAUACAAC